rnacentral:misc_RNA from 1 species
GGCCUUGUAAUAAAACUGUAACUUGUUUACUAGCUCGGUGGUACUUAAAUAACCUGCCCGUACUAUCUCCGCUCAAUAUCGACGCCAUGAACUGUCUUCUUUGGAAAACUGUACUACUAUCAGUAAAGUAUAUAAUAUCGUUGUCUUCAUCAAUAUCAAGAUCAUUUGUGAAGCGAAGUGGCUUGCCUUCGAAUUCACUCACAAGUUUUG